UGCCCAAAUGGGCCUUUGAUUGGCAGCUGUUGCUUCCUUCCUACUCCCUCCCACACACCCAGGAGCUCCAGCCUGUUAUGGGAUGGGCAUCCUACCAGGAACCAAGGAUGCUAAGAUGUCCUCCAAAAUGGAUUGCCUCAUAUCUAGUACCCGCCUGCUGCAGGCUUCUUCAUCUAGUUCCUCUGGGGACACACUGUGCAGCUAAUUCAUCCAGGCAGAUUCACUGGGAAGCUGUUGCUCAUGAGGUAGCUGUCAAGAAUGUAUUGCUGGAAGCCAAAUCUGUCAUUUUGUCUUCGGCAGUUGAAGAACUUUCAUUUUUCUUUCUAGGAGUAAUGCAUUUCUACUUAGAGAACAGCUAAGUGAAAAUGUACUCCUGAAACAAGAUUUUUUCUGCAGGCUUCCUUGAAUUUGUCAAAAAGACAAAAAUCUUACCAGCUUCACUUUGUAAUAAUGCCCCAAAGUUACUUGGAAUCAUCUUCCACCUACUUUUCUUGUCUCUAUUAUUUAAUAUGUGUAGUAGGGAAGAAGAAAAUGAACACAUUUACAAUUUAAGGUUCUGCUUAUACAUGUAUUGUCAAAGCUAAUUGUUUUAAACAAGGUGUUUUAUCUUUGAUUAAAGUGAUCAAUGCCUAUAAGUAUAAAAGAAAUGAUAGUAGAGUUUCAUGGUCUCUUUCAU
rnacentral:lncRNA from 10 species